rnacentral:rRNA from 1 species
GACGAACGCUGGCGGCGUGCCUAAUACAUGCAAGUUGAGCGCUGAAGGUUGGUACUUGUACCAACUGGAUGAGCAGCGAACGGGUGAGUAACGCGUGGGGAAUCUGCCUUUGAGCGGGGGACAACAUUUGGAAACGAAUGCUAAUACCGCAUAAAAACUUUAAACACAAGUCUUAAGUUUGAAAGAUGCAAUUGCAUCACUCAAAGAUGAUCCCGCGUUGUAUUAGCUAGUUGGUGAGGUAAAGGCUCACCAAGGCGAUGAUACAUAGCCGACCUGAGAGGGUGAUCGGCCACAUUGGGACUGAGACACGGCCCAAACUCCUACGGGAGGCAGCAGUAGGGAAUCUUCGGCAAUGGACGAAAGUCUGACCGAGCAACGCCGCGUGAGUGAAGAAGGUUUUCGGAUCGUAAAACUCUGUUGGUAGAGAAGAACGUUGGUGAGAGUGGAAAGCUCAUCAAGUGACGGUAACUACACAGAAAGGGACGGCUAACUACGUG